rnacentral:rRNA from 1 species
AAUUCCCGGUGUAGUGGUGAAAUGCGUAGAUAUCGGGAGGAACACCAGUGGCGAAAGCGGCUUUCUGGACUGUUUCUGACACUCAUAUGCGAAAGCUAGGGUAGCAAACGGGAUUAGAUACCCUGGUAGUCCUAGCUGUAAACGAUGUGAACUUGGCGUCGGCGGGUUCAAAGCCGUCGGUGCCGAAGCUAACGCGAUAAGUUCACCGCCUGGGGACUACGGCCGCAAGGUUAAAACUCAAAGGAAUUGACGGGUCCCCGCACAAGCAGCGGAGCGUGUGGUUUAAUUCGAUGUUACACGAAGAACCUUACCCAGGUUUGACAUGUUGGUGGUAGGGAAGCGAAAGCAGACCGACCCGCAAGGGAGCCUUCACAGGUGUUGCAUGGCUGUCGUCAGCUCGUGUCGUGAGAUGUUCGGUUAAGUCCGCCAACGAGCGCAACCCUCGCCGUAUGUUACAAGUGUCAUACGGGACCGCCGGUAUCAAGCCGGAGGAAGGUGGGGAUGACGUCAAGUCAGCAUGGCCUUUAUACCUUGGGCUACACACACGCUACAAUGGCCGGUACAAUGGGUCGCUAAGCCGCGAGGUAGAGCCAAUCCCUAAAGCCGGCCUCAGUUCAGAUCACAGGCUGCAACCCGCCUGUGUGAAGUCGGAGUUGCUAGUAAACGCGCGUCAGCUAUAGUGCGUUGAAUACGUUCUCGGGCCUUGUACACACCGCCCGUCACGUCAUGGGAGCUGGCAACACCUGAAGCCGGUAUCCUAACCGAAAGGAAGGAGCCGUCGAGGGUGGGGUCGGUGACUGGGACGAAGUCGUAACAAGGUAGGUGUACCGGAAGGUGCGCCUGG